ACCUCCGGUCUUCUCUAUAUAUUGCUAAUGAGAACCUUCUGGAUUUCCUGGAUUUAAGAGACCACCUGCUAUGAAGGAAAUGAUAUACUGCUCCUUAUCCCAGAAAGCCCAGCCUGACCACACCCUUGUUUGUGAUUGAUUGACUGUCUCAUUGAAGCAAGUUGCUCAUCAAACCUCUCUCAUCUGACACCUGUGACUACCACCGAGCCAUGGGAAAUGCAGAGGAUUUCAAAGCACCGUUGACAAGAUGCAUUCACAAAGACUUGCUAAAGUGUUUCAGGGACAUGGAGAGCAAUUGUCUGCAGACUGUAAUUAUCCUCUCGCAUGAUAGUUUGGUCUUGCCUGGUCUCAGCUGUUUGGUGCUUGUGCUCAAACCUACACACUUUCACCUCUCUCUCUGGAUAAAAGGCCACGAGGAUGGAGGGAACUGAGGAACUGGGACAGAGGAGGGGAGGUUGCAGCCCACCUGUCUGAAAGAUUGAGUGUCUUUGCUCAUUUUCCACCUACAAGUGCUCUCACAGUUUAAACUGCUUUGCUGCAUUACAUACUGUGUGUAGUGCAUUACAGCAGUGUA